rnacentral:rRNA from 1 species
UACAGAGGGGGCAAGCGUUGUUCGGAAUUACUGGGCGUAAAGGGCGCGUAGGCGGCACGGCAAGUCAGGCGUGAAAGGCCUGGGCUCAACCGAGGAACUGCUUUUGAGACUGCCAAGCUAGAGUGCAGAAGGGGCAACUGGAAUUCCCAGUGUAGCGGUGAAAUGCGUAGAUAUUGGGAAGAACACCUGAGGCGAAGGCGGGUUGCUGGGCUGACACUGACGCUGAGGCGCGAAGGCGUGGGGAGCGAACGGG